UAUGGCCACAUCACAUUGAAACACUAGUUCUUAUAUGAUCACCGUAGUUAAGCAAAUAUUGAGCUUGGUCAGUACCUAGAUGGGUGACCACUUGGGAAUACCAGGUGCUGUAAG